rnacentral:lncRNA from 1 species
CAAGAAGCAGCUGGAAAAUUCCUACCAAAAUGAGGAGAUUUUCUUUUUAAAGUCCUGCCACUUCUGCUUUCUUUCAUUUAUAAGGGGAAAAUUCUAGUUAUGAAAGAGAAGCUGAAGGAUGGCUGGAGAUUAUCACAGAUUUUAAUGGUGAUUUUUUAAAAAAGGUUACUAUCUUAAUUUUAUUCUGCACCAAAGAAGGACAUAUUUUCUACUGUUGUCUGCCUGUCAUAACCUAACUUUUUUUUCUCUAAUUAUUUGGAUGGUGUGAGGUCCUCUAUAGUCUCAUACAACCUAAGCCAGAAGCAGGAACCCUCUGCAUAACCACGAAUCCUCAGGUGAUUCCUUUUGAGAAUUCUGGGGGAUGGACAGAGGAAAAGAAAGCAAAUUUCCACAGCCAAAAGGGUAAAUAUUAUAGGCAUCUGGAGCACCUUUGGAAGCUGGUGAAGGAGAUAUUCCAGAGUGUGGGUGGUUUCUAGCACCUUCAUAUCAGUCCAUGUGGGCUGCGGCUAGAAGCUGGCACUGUGUUCAAAUUAUAAAUCACCCAGUAAACCAUGACAAAGGAAAACAUUGGCAAGUCACCUCCAGCUAGUUGAUGAAGGCUUUAUGAAGAGAAGAUUCUUACCUGUGCUUAAGGAAUAUGGGAGCCUCUUUGAGAAAACUGGAGGGAACUCCAUCCCUGGACACAACUGGAUUUGUCUGCCAUGUGUUGGCACGCCUGGGGGCCUUUCACCUCAGGGUUCCAUGAUUUGGGACAGAUUUCAUGGUGGGCUCUGUUGAAUAGGAAAUAUACUGUUGGAAAUAAGACAGGACAGAAGCCUUCCAGCUCCAUCAUUCUGAGCUCUUCCUAGGUCCACACUGGGUUUUUUGAGCUCCCAAAUGCUGUAUCACAGUGAACUCAUAUGGAAAGGCAAAACUUCUUAUCCUGAACUGUAUGGGUCAAAUACUUCCUUCAAGGCAGACUAAAAUGCUGGGAGGAUCCCUCCCUCUCUUCCUCUCCAAUUUCGGCCUCCUGACGUCAGUGAAGCUUUUACUGGCCUAGACACUUUGGCCUUGGGCCCAGAAAGCAUCAUUGUGGACAGCCCAGACCUGAGGCUGAUGGCCCAGAUAAUUGGACAAUCUGGGCCCAGAUACCAGUUUCCAAAACCAAAGAAAUUUCUGUGUUGCUUGAUCUAUCAUUUAAGCCAGACAGAAAAGCUUUGACAUUUCUUCCCCAUUCCCUCUUUUUAAACAAUGUAAAAUGCUGUUCCACAUCUAAUUGUACUGGAGAAAUGUGACAACUAUAAUUUUAGGCCUCAAAUGCCCACAAACAGUUUUGUAAAUCUUACAGACUCUAUUCAUCAAU